rnacentral:rRNA from 1 species
UACGGAGGGUGCGAGCGUUGUCCGGAAUCAUUGGGCGUAAAGGGCGCGUAGGUGGCUUCUUAAGCGUGCGGUGAAAGCCUGGGGCUCAACCCCGGGUCGGCCGUGCGAACUGGGGGGCUGGAGCACUGUAGAGGCAGGCGGAAUUCCGGGUGUAGCGGUGGAAUGCGUAGAGAUCCGGAAGAACACCGGUGGCGAAGGCGGUCUGCUGGGCAGUAGCUGACACUGAGGCGCGACAGCGUGGGGAGCAAACAGG